GACGAACGCUGGCGGCGUGCUUAACACAUGCAAGUCGUGGGGGGGUGUUGGGCAACCAAUACCUCACCGGCGAACGGGUGCGUAACACGUGAGCAACCUACCGAGAUGUGGGGGAUAGACCGGCCCAACGGCCGGGUAAUACCGCAUACGCUCACCGCGAGGAGUCUCGUGGUGAGGAAACCUCCGGGACAUUUCGAGGGGCUCGCGUCCUAUCAGCUUGUUGGCGAGGUAACGGCUCACCAAGGCGAUNACGGGUAGCUGGUCUGAGAGGAUGGCCAGCCACAUUGGGACUGAGAGACGGCCCAGACUCCUACGGGAGGCAGCAGUGGGGAAUCUUGCGCAAUGGCCGAAAGGCUGACGCAGCGACGCCGCGUGCGGGAGGACGCUC
rnacentral:rRNA from 1 species